rnacentral:rRNA from 1 species
UACGGAGGGUGCAAGCGUUAUCCGGAUUCACUGGGGUUUAAAGGGUGCGUAGGCGGGCAGGUAAGUCCGUGGUGAAAUCCCCGAGCUUAACUCGGGAACUGCCAUGGAUACUAUUUGUCUUGAAUAUUGUGGAGGUAAGCGGAAUAUGUCAUGUAGCGGUGAAAUGCUUAGAUAUGACAUAGAACACCAAUUGCGAAGGCAGCUUACUACACAGUUAUUGACGCUGAGGCACGAAAGCGUGGGGAUCAAACAGG